ACUAUAAUAUAUUGCUAAUAAGAGUAUAAUGUGGUGCAACUCUGGGAGAGCAUUUUGGCAAUGUCUAUCAAAAUUAUGAAUGCAUCUGUUCUUGACCCGGCAACUUUACUUCAGGACUUCAGGAAAAAUAUUCUAAAGGUGCACCUACAUUCUCAUACAAAAUGAGCUGCUGACAGACUGCUCACCUUGGAUUGCUUUCCACCAGGUGUUAUCUUUACACCUAUUCUCUAAACUGCUAUAAUUUAGAGCAACACUGGGAAGAUGUGUAACACUACAAACCCAUGAUCACCAUUAUCAACUAAUAAUUCCAAUAAAUUUCUAUUGUCAUCCUUUC